GGGCCACGUGUGGCCCACAAUGAAUAUCUUUGCAGCCCAGACAAUGUAAGGGCGCACCAUUUCUCUCCACUGACACCAGCAGCGAAUAUUCUAGCAGCUGGUGGCCACAUCCUUGGUCUUGGACUGACUUGUUUGGUGUGUGCAACAGGAAAUAUUUCGCUUUCAGAGAACAAGA